rnacentral:tRNA from 2 species
UUAAUUGAAACCAAAAAGAGGUUUAUCACUGUUAAUGAUAAUAUUGAAACUUAAUUCCAAUUAAG